UACGUAGGGGGCAAGCGUUAUCCGGAUUUACUGGGUGUAAAGGGAGCGUAGACGGCGCGGCAAGUCUGAAGUGAAAGGCAGGGGCUUAACCCCUGAACUGCUUUGGAAACUGCCAUGCUAGAGUGCUGGAGAGGUAAGUGGAAUUCCUAGUGUAGCGGUGAAAUGCGUAGAUAUAUGGAGGAACACCGGUGGCGAAAGCGGCUCUCUGGUCUGUAACUGACGCUGAGGCUCGAAAGCGUGGGUAGCGAACAGG
rnacentral:rRNA from 1 species